AUCUAACCUGUUGCUUUCCUUUCUGCACUCCCAGUGCUCCAAGCCAGCCUUGCCCUGACUGCUUUGCUUUCUGCACUCCCAGUGCUCCAAGCCAGCCUUGCCCUGACUGCUUUCCUAUCUGCACUCCCAGUGCUCCAAGCCAGUCUUGCCCUGACUGCUUCCUUUCUGCACUCCAAGUGCCUAGUCUCCUUGACUCUAUCUGGAGAGAACAGCCUCUCUCUCCUACCUGCUUCCUGGGAGGAAGCCAGCAAUCCCUCUCUUUUACCUGCCUAGCAGGGAGGGGCUUAUUACCACUGCAAUAGCUCAUUAACUGCACCUGAGCAGUGGGUUGGAGACGGUCCAAAAAACCCUGGCCUGGAUCUAUGUCUCCCCAGAAAACCACCAAACUGUGGAGUGGAGCAUUUGCCCACCCUUCUCUCCAAAUGCUCCACCCCAGGGGCCCAUAACUAAACAGCAUUUUGUGUUGCCUACAACACAUCCUACACAUACUCCCCCUGGGGUUAAAAGGCCUAUCUGCCUUCACUUUAUCACAAUAUAUAUAUAUAUAUAUUAUAUACACACACACACAUACAUAUACACGUGGCGUGUGUUUGUGCUUUAGGGUGCACACACUUCCCUAAUCUGUAGGCUGGCCCCCUCAC